AUAAAGUUCCUACUUUCUUCCACCAGCCCCAGUGUCAGAGAUUGGCUUGCUGCGCAACGGAUCCCACCAGAAGAGUGAAAAUCUGGCUGAUUCAGAGGAGACACAAUGUUAGAGCGAACUUUCUCUGCACCUCGUUGGAAAGGAGUUUGGGACCGUGGAGCUGGGGGUGGACGGCGGCUGCACAUACAGCCCGUCUGUGUGGGGCAUCUCCUCUGCCCUGAGCUUCCAGUCAAAGCAAAACGCUUCAGCACCCAAGGGAGCAGAUCCAUCUGGAGCUCCAGACAGCUCUCUCCCUCCCUGGCUUCUCCCGCCGCCUCUGCCCUGGUCCAGGCCACGCCUGCUCAGUCCUCAACAAUGUGGGCCAAUGGGGAGGGGAGGCAGUUUGAGUGGGAGUGGCUGAGGGCUGCAGCUCACUGUCAGGAGGAGGGGGACAGGGGAAGGAGCAGGGAAUCCAAAAUCCAAACCAAAGUCCAAAAUGCAGAACAAAGACCAUGGGCCUGGCACUGAUUUGAAGGUGGGAGGAGCUGGAUGGUGUAUUGGUCGGGAUGCACUGAGUUACACUGAGUAACCAGUCUCAGUGGCUUAACACAAUAAAGGUUUAUUUCUGGCUCACUCGUCAGGCCUGCAGGGGCUGGCAGAGGGCUCUGCUCCACAGACUCUCAGAGACCCAGGCUGGUGAGACCCCAUCAUCUAGUGAUGCUGCCCUCGCAACAAGUGGCUUCAGGGCUCACCAACGAAGGGGAGAGACUGUGUUAAAAGCAUGCCUGUUCUUACGUGUCCUACACUGAAGGUGACAAAGGUCACUUCUGCUCAUUGCUAGUUAGCCAAGAGUCACUGACUACAAGGGGCAGGAAUGUUCUCCUUGUGCCUAUAAAGGUGAGGGGAACCAGAUCUAGUGCCACGAAGAGACACCCACAACAGCUGCCCUGUCCGGAGGCCUCCAGGCAGCGUGCAGAGUGCUCUGCAUGAACAGUCUCUGACCGCUCAGACGGGGAUUGGUAUUAUUAUGCCCAUCUUCCAGGUAGGCAAACUAAGGCAUAGAGAAGUCAAGUGAUUUCCUGAUGUCACAUAGCCAGGAUGUGCCAGAGAUAAGAUUUGAACUCCAUUCUGCCUAACUGCAUUCUGUUCAAGCCUGCGUUCUCGAACAUUAAAUCUCCAGUCAGACAGGAGAGGUACCAGGUUCCUGACAGUUUGUGAUAGUCCCUGAGUCUGCAGCAGUGAAUGUCAGAGACAGAGCCACUCGCUCAGGUUGGGUUGAAGGUGGGACCUCACUCAUCAGCCCAGAGAUAGAGAGUUCAGGGAGAAGCCCACCACUCACGGGUGGGGCGCAGAAGUCCCAGCUUAUUUCUGCCAAGGUCAAGACCUUAAACCAUGGGGUCAGAGCUGUGCAUAUACUUUCCGCCCUGGUCAUGUUUCGCAUAGGGAUGGGGGCUUGGUGGGAAUUCUGGCUGGGAGGGGCUGGUAACAAGGCAGGAAGCUGACAGUUCAGGAUGGCAGGAAGCCUUCAGUUGGAGGUUGGGGAAUCCUGGGUCCAGUGGGAGGGGCUUCCACUGUCCCCUUCCCUGGCACAUCACACUCUGGGUACUGCAGCCACCAGAAGGACUCCCAAGGCUUCCUGGGCCCUGGGCCCAACCUCUUCUGGAAUUUGCUUCUGCAGUUUCAAAGCUGAGCCUAAUGGAAAAGCAAGGUGAGGCCAGUUUCUGCAUUUUGGAACAUUCCUAUCAAAACAAAAGGAGCUGGGGAAAAGUGAAUACUAUUAAAGCCCAGGCAGAGAUGGAGAAAACUGUGCCUUUUAUGGCUGAAGCUAUUAAAAGUCCACUUAGGAACACGAUGACUGGCCACGACUUGCAUUCCUGCCAGGAUUUCUCCCGGCCUUCCCUCUGCUGUUGGCCGGGCACAUUCACUUUCCUGACUUCACCUCAGUGCUUGCUACAGUUUUAAGGGGCUCCUGACAACUUUAUGCUCAUGAUUCGGCGGGCACCCAUCUGCAUGGAUCUCAGAGUGCAUCAGGGGUCAUUUCUAAGGACCAGUCAUAUUUCAUGGUUUGCGUGGACUUUGCCAUAUUGGAAACUGCUGCCUGGGGAGGAACCAUUAAAAACAAAUGUUCUGUGUUUUCAGUUUCUCUCACCUGCCAAGAGGUUUCCUUGAUGGCGCUGGCCCAGAAAGCCAAGGCAGAUGAAGAUUAGAUUAGAAUAAAUUGAUUUAGAAGUGACACGAGGCUCCUUGGGAGAGGCUUAAAUAUUUCAUACAUGUGUAUGACAUAGAUUUCAGCUGGGCCCGUCAGGAAGAGGGAGGGAAAUGGAAAUCUUAUACUGAGAUUCAGUGCAGGCUUGGAAUGUGGCGGAUCAAAGCCAGAGGACGUGGGCUGGUCUCAACGGCUGCUGCAUAACCCUCUCCGUCUCAGCUUCCUUAGCUGUAAAUUGGGAACAAAGUAUGUUUAUGACUAACCUCCUAGAAUUUUUUGAGGUCUCCCAAAUCAACCUCGAUUGGUGCCUCCUUUCCAGAUUCCUGGGAGUUCUGGUCAGUGUCUGGGGCUGAGGGCAGGAGGCAGGGUCCAGGUGUGUCCUGAAACUAGCUGGGAUUCCUGAACCAAAGGCUCUGAGACCCCAAUCUCCCAGCCUUGAGCAUCACAAGGACUGAGUGAUGCCCCUUUUCCCAUCCAGCCUUGAGUAUCACAAGGACUGAGCGAUGCCCCUUUCCCCAUCCACCUCCUCCACACCCUCAGCACAACACCAUCUGGCACUUUCGUCCCCUUCCAGCUGUUCUGCCUCUUCUCUGGGUGCCGACAUUCCUACGGCACAAAGGUUGGGGAAUGUUUCCAGGGCCUGCACCGCCUAGGCCUGUCACUGCCCCAGUAAUCUCCCAGUGAAUUUACUUAUCUGGAGAGACGAGAGUGAUUUGCAUGUUGAGCUGGGAAACCACAGGUUUCCCGGGGCUGUUCCUUGGCCUUGAUUUGUACUGGUGACCCCAAGAGAAGGUGGCAUAAAGAGGAAUUAGGGAUUGUCACCAGUCCCUAGAAUAACUGGGUAGUAUCUCUUCUGAAAGGGGUGGGGGAGUUCCACCCUGCACCCCAGUGAAUGCCUUCCUGGGGCCAGUGAGAAGUUCCUGGCACUGAGGCAGUGAAGGGCAGAGAGGCGUUCCUGCAGGCGGGGGAGCCAGCAAGCCUUCUUGGCAAAAAGGGGACAUAAGAGUUCCAGCCUCAGUUGGACUCGUGUCCAAUUUGCAAGGAGGACGCAGCUGGAGAAAAGAAGGACCCAGUUUCUUAAUUGCCUUAGAGAAUUCAUCUCCAUGAACAAGUCUCUCAGACUGUGUAAAGUCUCUUUGGGAAGGUUUGCUCUUUCAGGGCAAAGAAUUUUAGUAUGGUAGUUGAAUGUCUGGCAAAUGAGGUAACCCGUGGGGACGGAGAAUAACCCUUAGGGCAACGUGUCUGGCCACAGGACUCUCUGACCCUUUCAGCAGUGACCUUGAUCCUGCUGACGGUUGUCCUGGGCAGGUCCUCCUCACCAGGGCAGUCUUCCUUCUCCCAGCCCUUCCUUCCCACCUGCCAGGAGGAGCAUGCAAUCUGGUGACUCCCUAGGCACCGGCUGGGUUAGGCGAGCCCUAUGCUGAGGGGUGAAGGGGCCAGCAGGACAACAAUUUGCUCCUUGUUUGAAAAUGCAAAUAGAGUGAGCGUUGGGAGUUGCGGCCCUGCAUGAGUACCAAUGGCUAGGUGGAUGUUGGAAGGGAGCCAGGCUUUCAUUCUUCCAACCAAUUUUGAGGACUUAUGACAUUCCGGGCAGUCCAGGGCACUGAAGAUGCAGCAGGGAACAAGAUGAGGCUCUGGCUUUACAAACAAGUAAACAAAGGAAGGUGAUUUCAGGCAUUGCAAGUGCUACAAGGGAAGUGAAAUAGGGUGUUGGGAUGCAGAUGAGUGGGUGGGAGUGGCUUUUAUUUGAUGGUCAAAGGUAUUCUUUGAGGGGUAAGUGGAACACAGGAGGGACAAGAGAAGAUCCAGAAAGGCCAGCGAGGGGGCUGUUCUCACUGUCCAGGGGCCUGGGCCAGGAGGGUGACAGUGGAGGUGGAGGGAAGUAGACAGAUGUGGGACCUAUUUUAGAAACAUAACUGACAAGAUUUAUUGGUAGGUUGGAUCCAGAGUGUACGGGGAAGAGAGAAGAAAGGUGAAGUCAGGCAAAGACAGCACUGAGUGCAAGUUUAUUUACUUAUUCUAUGCCUUUUCCACCUAUGAUUUGUGACUUCUUACAAAACAACUCAAACAGUAAAAUCAAAUAUUUUGUUUCAAGAAUCAGAACCAAAGGAGAAAAAGCAUGCAAAUAGCCCCACCCUAGGGACCAGCAGAGUUAUCAUAGUUGAGCUUCAAAUCUGACUCUGAGCUUCUUAGUAGGUAGGGGAAAGGAAAGUUAUAUAUAGUCAAGAUAAUAUUUGUGAUUUUAGAGUUAAAUACCGCAGCUGACCAUUUUCUCAAAGGACAGCAAAGAUUCUUUUAGCGCUGGAGUCUAGAUAAUUUUUCCCAGGUGUACUUUUUACAAAGGCCCCUGCUUGCAGCACAGGAUGGGAUCUUAAGCUUGUCUGUGGCACCUGCACCAAGAAAUUGUACCUGACUUUCCUAAGAGACAUUGGUUGAAACCCAAGGGCACAGGGCUAAACUGCAGCGGGGUGGGGAGAGCAGCAGGAGGGCCUUCGAAUUUGUUCGUGGGAGAUGGGAUGUUAAACCGUGCUAAGGUGACGGAGGGAGAAAUGUAGCAAAACAGAGAAGAGCUAAACAAGUGUCAAGACUGGAGAAUAGAAAUUGUAAUACUUAUGUGAAUCAAAAAUCAUGUGUGUUUUUUAAAUAUUCAUUCUUAAUGUUAUUCACAUGAGGUUAAUUUUUUCUGAUUAGUGUAUACAUAUCAGAGACAAAAUGAAAAAUAUUGAAAAGAAUAGAUGAAAUAAAAAUAAAAAUCUCCCCUCA